GACGAACGCUGGCGGCGUGCUUAACACAUGCAAGUCGAACGGAAAGGCCUCUUUCGGGGGGUACUCGAGUGGCGAACGGGUGAGUAACACGUGAGUAACCUGCCCUUGACUUUGGGAUAACUUCAGGAAACUGGGGCUAAUACCGGAUAGGAGCUCCUGCUGCAUGGUGGGGGUUGGAAAGUUUCGGCGGUUGGGGAUGGACUCGCGGCUUACCAGCUUGUUGGUGGGGUAGUGGCUUACCAAGGCUUUGACGGGUAGCCGGCCUGAGAGGGUGACCGGCCACAUUGGGACUGAGAUACGGCCCAGACGCCGACGGGAGGCAGCAGUGGGGAAUAUUGCACAAUGGGUGGAAGCCGGAUGCAGCAACGCCGUGUGCGGGAGGACGGCCUUCGGGUUGUAAACCGCUUUCGCUCAUGACGAAGCUUUGUGUGACGGUAGUGGGUAAAGAAGCACCGGCUAACUACGUG
rnacentral:rRNA from 1 species